AUCUAGCCCUGAUUGAGCGGUCUGUUUGAGCUCUUUUUUGCCUUUUUUAGCAAAAAAAGCGAGUAGCGAAAGCAGGAAAUAGC
rnacentral:misc_RNA from 1 species